UACGAAGGGGGCUAGCGUUGCUCGGAUUGACUGGGCGUAAAGGGCGCGUAGGCGGAUAGUACAGUCAGGCGUGAAAUUCCUGGGCUCAACCUGGGGGCUGCGUUUGAUACGUAUUGUCUGGAGUUCGGAAGAGGGUCGUGGAAUUCCCGGUGUAGAGGUGAAAUUCGUAGAUAUCGGGAGGAACACCAGUGGCGAAGGCGGCGACCUGGGCCAAUAUUGACGCUGAGGUGCGAAAGCGUGGGGAGCAAACAGG
rnacentral:rRNA from 1 species